rnacentral:rRNA from 1 species
AACGAACGCUGGCGGCGUGCUUAACACAUGCAAGUCGAACGCGAAAGGGACUUCGGUCCUGAGUAAAGUGGCGCACGGGUGAGUAACGCGUAGAUAACCUGUCUUCAUGUCUGGAAUAAUACGCCGAAAGGGGUACUAAUACCGGAUAUUCUUGCUUUUCAUAAGUUAUGCAAGCAAAGGUGGCCUCUGCAUAUGCUACUGCAUGAAGAGGGGUCUGCGUACCAUUAGCUAGUAGGUGGGGUAAUGGCCUACCUAGGCGACGAUGGUUAGCGGGUCUGAGAGGAUGAUCCGCCACACUGGCACUGGAACACGGGCCAGACUCCUACGGGAGGCAGCAGUGAGGAAUAUUGCGCAAUGGGGGAAACCCUGACGCAGCGACGCCGCGUGAGUGAGGAAGGCCCUUCGGGUCGUAAAGCUCUGUCAAGAGGAAAGAAGUGUACAAUGGCUAAUACCUGUUGUAUUUGACAGUACCUCUAAAGGAAGCACCGGCUAACUCCGUGCCAGCAGCAGC